rnacentral:rRNA from 1 species
CGUAGGGUGCAAGCGUUAAUCGGAAUUACUGGGCGUAAAGCGUGCGCAGGCGGCCCUGCAAGACAGAUGUGAAAUCCCCGGGCUUAACCUGGGAACUGCAUUUGUGACUGCAUGGCUGGAGUGCGGCAGAGGGGGAUGGAAUUCCGCGUGUAGCAGUGAAAUGCGUAGAUAUGCGGAGGAACACCGAUGGCGAAGGCAAUCCCCUGGGCCUGCACUGACGCUCAUGCACGAAAGCGUGGGGAGCAAACAGGAUUAGAUACCCUGGUAGUCCACGCCCUAAACGAUGUCAACUGGUUGUUGGACGGCUUGCUGUUCAGUAACGAAGCUAACGCGUGAAGUUGACCGCCUGGGGAGUACGGCCGCAAGGUUG